AAGGUGAAACUUACAAAAUAUGUUUGAUAAAUUUUCGGUAUAUAGUAACACUUUUUUUCACCUUCCAAAAAGAUAGGAUCUACGAACUGGUUCUGAUACUAUAUAAUCUAAUAGAUCAAUUUAGCCGAAAAUUAGUAACACUUUUUUAUAAUCUAAUAGAUCAAUUUUCGGUAUAUAGUAACACUUUUUUUCACCUUCCAAAAAGGUGGGUUGUUUGGACUGAACGCAAUAAUACUAUCUUUCGUGAUAUGCCUCCCAACGCAAACCGGGCCGCGGUUCGCGUUGAGUCUUUGUUGAAGGAUUGGACUGAUGUCACGUGAUUCUCGACGACUGCUGCUCUAGCUACAUGCUUUUGUUCCCUUUUACAUGUUUUUUGGGCUUAUGUUUAUGUUCUCGUUGAUUUCUUUUCGGUUUUUCUAGGAGGCCCUAGCUGCUUCCACCUGUAUGCUUAGUUCAUUUUACUUUAUGAAUGAAGCAGGUAGCUUGCUACCUUUUUCUCAAAAAAAAUUUAGCCGAAAAUUUUGGAUUUGCUGCUCGCUUAUGUCCGCUU
rnacentral:lncRNA from 1 species